GUGGGGAAUUUUGGACAAUGGGCGCAAGCCUGAUCCAGCAAUGCCGCGUGCAGGAAGAAGGCCUUCGGGUUGUAAACUGCUUUUGUACGGAACGAAAAGGCUCUGGUUAAUACCUGGGGCUCAUGACGGUACCGUAAGAAUAAGCACCGGCUAACUACGUGCCAGCAGCCGCGGUAAUACGUAGGGUGCAAGCGUUAAUCGGAAUUACUGGGCGUAAAGCGUGCGCAGGCGGUUUUGUAAGACAGGCGUGAAAUCCCCGGGCUCAACCUGGGAAUUGCGCUUGUGACUGCAAGGCUGGAGUGCGGCAGAGGGGGAUGGAAUUCCGCGUGUAGCAGUGAAAUGCGUAGAUAUGCGGAGGAACACCGAUGGCGAAGGCAAUCCCCUGGGCCUGCACUGACGCUCAUGCACGAAAGCGUGGGGAGCAAACAGGAUUAGAAACCCCUGUAGUCC
rnacentral:rRNA from 1 species